rnacentral:rRNA from 1 species
AGCAGCCGCGGUAAUUCCAGCUCCAAUAGCGUAUAUUAAAGUUGUUGCAGUUAAAAAGCUCGUAGUUGAAUUUCGGGAUCAAGUUGUCGGUCGUGCCUCGGUACGCACUGGUGACAUUGGUUUCUCCCUUCUGAAGAACCUUGAUGUCAUUAAUUUGGUGUCUUGGGAAAUCAGGACUGUUACUUUGAAAAAAUUAGAGUGUUUAAAGCAGGCUCACGCUUGAAUACAUUAGCAUGGAAUAAUGAAAUAGGACGUUUGAUUCUAUUUUGUUGGUUUCUAGGAUCGAUGUAAUGAUUAAUAGGGAUAGUUGGGGGCAUUAGUAUUCAAUUGUCAGAGGUGAAAUUCUUGGAUUUAUUGAAGACUAACUACUGCGAAAGCAUUUGCCAAGGAUGUUUUCAUUAAUCAAGAACGAAAGUUAGGGGAUCGAAGACGAUCAGAUACCGUCGUAGUCUUAACCAUAAACUAUGCCGACUAGGGAUCGGAUGAUGUUAAUUUUUUAAUGACUCAUUCGGCGCCUUACG